AUUGAACGCUGGCGGCAUGCUUUACACAUGCAAGUCGAACGGCAGCGCGGGCUUCGGCCUGGCGGCGAGUGGCGAACGGGUGAGUAAUGCAUCGGAACGUGCCCAGUAGUGGGGGAUAGCCCGGCGAAAGCCGGAUUAAUACCGCAUACGACCUGAGGGUGCAAGCGGGGGACCGAAAGGCCUCGCGCUAUUGGAGCGGCCGACGUCGGAUUAGCUAGUUGGUGGGGUGAAGGCUUACCAAGGCGACGAUCCGUAGCUGGUCUGAGAGGACGACCGGCCACACGAGAACUGAGACACGGCCAAGGCUCCUACGGGAGGCAGCAGUGGGGAAUGUUGGACAAUGGGGGCAACCCUGAUCCAGCCAUGCCGCGUGCGGGAAGAAGGCCUUCGGGUUGUAAACCGCUUUUGUUCGGGAAGAACUCCUCUGGGCUAAUACCCCGGGGGGAUGACGGUUCCGGAAGAAUAAGCACCGGCUAACUACGUG
rnacentral:rRNA from 1 species